AGAUUGUCAGGCAGCCUCCGAUUGCACAAACAUAGCAGCAGACGGCUGUCCCCCGGACGCCCACGCCAUGUGCGACCUGAUGAACCACGUGUGCCACUGUGGACCACCGCACACAAACCAGUACCGCAUCAACGACUCUCAUUAACUGCGAUUUUUUUGUCAUGAAAAAAUAAAUGAAAAUGAAAAUAUCA